rfam:Xiphophorus maculatus strain JP 163 A Contig3099.2, whole genome shotgun sequence.
UCCUUGUUAUUAUAGUGGUGAGUAUCCCCGCCUGUCACGCGGGAGACCGGGGUUCGAUUCCCCGACGGGGAG